rnacentral:rRNA from 1 species
AUGGGUCUUAUUUAUGGCUGGAUGUUUGCUGUGAAUUGUUCGUAUGUGCAUCUGUUGGAUGUCGUCGUCUCUCGAUGUCGUUUGCCAUUCCACUCAUACCCGCGAGAGGUUAUGGAAGAUGGUGAUUUGCUCGGUGGAGUCGAGAUUGAGGUUGAUGUUCUUGGGAGUGAUGCAUUGACAGUCAGGAGGUUCUUCUGGUCCCAGGCCAGUGUGGGCUUGUCCAUUUAUGAAAGCGCUGCUUUCCAGGCAAUUUGUUUUCUGCAAGGGGUGUAUGGGUUUGUUCUGUUGGAUUACAAUUAUAGAAGUAUGUCUACUUAUCGAGAGCUUGCUCGCUCUGCGGUGGUUCUGGCUGCGUCGUUGGUCAGGGCAUAA